AGAGUUUGAUCCUGGCUCAAAUGAACGCUGGCGGCGUGCUUAACACAUGCAAGUCGAGCGAGGCGGAGGGGGCAACUCCUCUAGCCGAGCGGCGGACGGGUGAGUAACACGUGGGUAACCUGCCCGGAAGUGGGGAAUACCUCGGGGAAACUCGAGCUAAUGCCGCAUAAAAUCUCCGGGACGAAAGUCCUGGCGAUCAAAGCGGGGUCGCAAGAUCUCGCGCUACCGGAUGGGCCCGCGCCCGAUUAGCUAGUUGGUGAGGUAAUGGCUCACCAAGGCAACGAUCGGUAGCCGGCCUGAGAGGGUGAUCGGCCACACCGGAACUGAGACACGGUCCGGACUCCUACGGGAGGCAGCAGUGGGGAAUCUUGCGCAAUGGGCGAAAGCCUGACGCAGCAACGCCGCGUGGAGGAUGAAGGCCCUUGGGUUGUAAACUCCUGUCGGCUGGGAAGAACUCGUACGAUGCUCAUACCAUCGUGCGUUGACUGUACCAGCAAAGGAAGCCCCGGCUAACUCUGUGCCAGCAGCCGCGGUAAUACAGAGGGGGCUAGCGUUAUUCGGAAUUAUUGGGCGUAAAGGGCGCGUAGGCGGCCUUGCGUGUCUUUCGUGAAAUCCCUCGGCUUAACUGAGGACGUGCGGAAGAAACUGCAGGGCUUGAGUCCGGGAGAGGGGGGGUGGAAUUCCCAGUGUACGGGAAAUGCGUAAGAUAUUGGGGAGGAACACCGGGGCGAAGGCGG
rnacentral:rRNA from 1 species